AAGACACUGAGAAAUGCCACUGUGGAGAUGAAACUGUUUAUUCCUGUGGGGAGCAUUUCCUGGCAGGCCUGCAGCACCUGGCAGGCUUCCCUAAGUCGAAGGUUUUGAUGGAGACAUCUCAUUUAGGGAAUAGGAUAUUGAAGCUCCUAAGAUCUGGACAGACCUUCUUAGAGGCUCCAUACAAUGUUACAUUCUUUUUGAAGAUCUCCUAUGUAGCCAGGAACCAAUCCCAAUUGGCCUUACUUCAGGGUUUCUACAAGAUCCUGUUUGACAAAAUCCCUUCAUUCCGGGAGAGAAGGAAGGAUUAAAAGGCAUUCUUAGCUUUUUACAACAAACUCUGGAAUCAUCGGGUUAUCUUUAUGUUUCUGACCGUGCACCCUCAUCUACAAGAACGACUGAGCCUCAAACCCAUUUCCAAGUCUCCUUUUCUGUAACAGGCGACUUUUGUCUUACAACCAUUUUUGCUUUUCUGUUACUCGAUGGGAUGUCCUCCAUUGCAACUUACUGUCCCCAGACAGUAGUUCCCACUUCUGCUUGCUACUUCGUGAGCCAUCUGCAUUUCUCAGGAACACAGCUGUUUAUUAUGGCCCAUACAGCUGAUUGCAAUCAAUUUUUAUCUGGGUACUUGAAUUUCUGUGAGGCCAUCUCUUUUAUAGAUCUUAAAAUCUGUUUUCUUGGGACUGGAAGUUCACAGAGUCAUGUUUAGAGACAUCUUUCACACACAGGAGGGCAUGAUACCACUUACAUGCUAAACACUGUCAGAGCCAAAAUAUUCUUUCUAAUGUACAUAAUGCCAUUGUGUGUUGGCCCCUGAUUUGUAUUAGACAUUCAACUUCCCACCCUCAGUACAUCUCCAAUGACUUGAAGAAGUUUGUUGAAUCUCUGGUUUCAGGGAUGCAUUCAAUGGGUCCUGGCAACCUCAUUUCCUAGUCAAUACCGCUGGAAAAAAGAACUAGGGCCAUCCAUGCUUUAUGGAUCUCUGUGAACAGUAAGUACAGUGGGGAUGGGGGACUUAAGUUGGUCAAAAAUAUGGAGGAGGAGAGUUCUUAUUUCCCAGAUGGGAAGAAUUUUUUUCUUGGCCACUGAGCAUGAAUGAGGAAAAAAUGCAGCCCUGGAUAACUGUGAACCUCCCAUGACAAAGGAGACUGCCUGAAUACAAAGCCAACACAGCCAGAGGGAACAGAAGGGGAGAUGUAGAGCAGCAGAGCCCACACCACUAUGUGCCUGCCACCCCCAUGUGAAGAAAUAAUCCCCCUGCUGUUUGUACCUCCAAGGGUCAAUCAAAUACACCUGAGCCAUACCUGGAGACAAGAGGCAUCCUGUCAGGUGUGGGGCCCCUGAGGCAGGCUUGCAUGGUCAAACCCUGGCUUUUAUAUGUUGAAAUGGCGGCUCUGUUUCUGGAGUGCCACGGAAGUGUUUGUUUCUUAUUGA